AGUGGAAUUGUUGGGUCAAAUUGUAUCUUUACGUUUUGGAGAAAUUGUCAGACUAUUUUCCAAAGUGGAUGCACCAUUUCACAUUUCUACCAGCAAU
rnacentral:pre_miRNA from 1 species